rnacentral:lncRNA from 1 species
CGAAGGUUCAAGCCCUCCUUCUAGCGCCAAUCCUGUUGGUGCAAAAAUCUGCUUGCGCCGGAGAAGCUGGAGUCGGAGAAGUCGCGGUCGCCGCCGGGACCUGCAAAGGAAGUCUAAACCGGAGGUGGGGUUGCUCCGGCAAGACCCUCCGACGCUCAAGUCAGUUCUCUGCCUCAACAAGAAUGGAGUGCUCGAAUGGAGAAUUUAGCAGAGUUUUGAGAUAAGAAAUGAGCUUAUAGAAUAACGUAUCUGAGUCCCCCUUUUAUAGGCGG